GUGGGUAACCUGCCUGUAAGACUGGGAUAACUCCGGGAAACCGGAGCUAAUACCGGAUAGUUCCUUGAACCGCAUGGUUCAAGGAUGAAAGACGGUUUCGGCUGUCACUUACAGAUGGACCCGCGGCGCAUUAGCUAGUUGGUGGGGUAAUGGCUCACCAAGGCGACGAUGCGUAGCCGACCUGAGAGGGUGAUCGGCCACACUGGGACUGAGACACGGCCCAGACUCCUACGGGAGGCAGCAGUAGGGAAUCUUCCGCAAUGGACGAAAGUCUGACGGAGCAACGCCGCGUGAGUGAUGAAGGUUUUCGGAUCGUAAAGCUCUGUUGUUAGGGAAGAACAAGUGCGAGAGUAACUGCUCGCACCUUGACGGUACCUAACCAGAAAGCCACGGCUAACUACGUGCCAGCAGCCGCGGUAAUACGUAGGUGGCAAGCGUUGUC
rnacentral:rRNA from 33 species